rnacentral:rRNA from 1 species
UACGUAGGGGGCAAGCGUUGUCCGGAAUCAUUGGGCGUAAAGAGCGUGUAGGCGGCCCGAUAAGUCCGCCGUGAAAGUCCAGGGCUCAACCCUGGGAUGCCGGUGGAAACUGUCGGGCUAGAGUCCGGAAGAGGCGAGUGGAAUUCCUGGUGUAGCGGUGAAAUGCGCAGAUAUCAGGAGGAACACCGAUGGCGAAGGCAGCUCGCUGGGACGGUACUGACGCUGAGACGCGAAAGCGUGGGGAGCAAACAGG